UGACAGCCGGCAGUGCUUAAACAGCAGCAGGCGCCUUUGACAUGUCCUGAUGAAAUACGCGGCCAGACAUGGAUCAAUCCCACCAGGAAUUGGGUUUCACAUCCCGGAAGCAGAGAUGUACACAUGGGUCACUUUCAUCGACUCUCUGCGGCCAUGGCCAUAGGUAUCCAUCAUACAGACCAUUGACUGGUUGUGACCAUGAAGGUACAGAUUCAUCACGGAGAGAGGCUGCGGUGGACGAGGUCAGCGGAAAGCAGCGACUGCUUCUCGUCUGCAACCAUGUGGAAAUGGAGCCUUUUGAGAUAUUUUCAAAAUGAUGACGGCUGGGCUUGGCUGAGGAUUGAAGGAGAGAAGAUGAAGGGAAGGAUGAUGGAGAGCUGGAUGAGGGAGAGACGAGAAAAAGAAGAUGGUGAAGAUUGAUUUUCAUUGACUUGGUUCCAGCGCACUGACAACUGUGAGAUUCCAAUAACCAGCCUGAAACACUUGCAUACACACUGCAGAGAUAUGGUGAAUAGUUGGGGAAUAUUAGUAGCCUACAAGAUUGAAGCUGGUCAGAUUACGAACGAGUAAAUGAAAACAGAAUGAGGCG